UCAAUCUUCAUACUAAUGGAACGGUAUAAAAACGUGUAGCCUUCAGUCAAGAUCUGUAGCAGCAGUAUCCUACUUACGGAAAGCACGAUGAAAUAUUUGCUGGUUCUAAUGCUUUUUGCAACUGUUCUUCAAGCACGGAGUGAAGCUGUGUAUGAUGACGACUCUGGUGAGAAUAGCACCAGCACAGAGCCAAGCAACCACACCGUGUAUACAGCGGCCCCGAAGCUUAUCAAGUCUCCCUCAAACGGGACCGGUGAAUUUGAGAAGAUCGAAUAUGAGUGAUGUACAGGGAAGGAAGACGUCCGUUUUUUAUUAUAUCUUCAUGAAUUGAAGCGAAAUAAAACAUAGGUAGACUCCAUGUAA
rnacentral:lncRNA from 1 species